AGUUGAUUAUGGCUCAGGAUGAACGCUAGCGACAGGCCUAACACAUAGCAAGGUCGAGGGGGCAGCGACAAGGAGUAAUCUGAGGUGGCGACCGGCGCACGGGUGAGUAACACGUAUGCAACCUGCCUUUAAGCGGGGGAUAACCCGGAGAAAUCCGGGACUAAUACCGCAUAAUACCUAUUUACUGCAGUGGUAAAUAGUUUAAACAUUUAUGGCUUACAGAUGGGCAUGCGUAUGAUUAGCUGGUUGGUGAGGUAACGGCUCACCAAGGCAACGAUCAUUAGGGGUUCUGAGAGGAAGGUCCCCCACACUGGUACCUGAGACACGGACCAGACUCCUACGGGAGGCAGCAGUGAGGAAUAUUGGUCAAUGGGCGAGAGCCUGAACCAGCCAAGUCGCGUGAAGGAAGAAAGGUUCUAUGGAUUGUAAACUUCUUUUGCAUGGGAAUAAAGUGAGCUACGUGUAGUCUAUUGUAUGUACUGUGCGAAUAAGGAUCGGCUAACUCCGUGCCAGCCGCUGC
rnacentral:rRNA from 1 species